UACGGAGGGAGCUAGCGUUAUUCGGAAUUACUGGGCGUAAAGCGUACGUAGGCGGCUUUGCAAGUUAGAGGUGAAAGCCUGGAGCUCAACUCCAGAACUGCCUUUAAAACUGCAUCGCUUGAAUCCAGGAGAGGUGAGUGGAAUUCCGAGUGUAGAGGUGAAAUUCGUAGAUAUUCGGAAGAACACCAGUGGCGAAGGCGGCUCACUGGACUGGUAUCGACGCUGAGGCGCGACAGCGUGGGGAGCAAACAGG
rnacentral:rRNA from 1 species